UACGUAGGGUGCGAGCGUUGUCCGGAAUUAUUGGGCGUAAAGAGCUCGUAGGCGGUCUGUCACGUCGGACGUGAAAAUCAGGGCUCAACCCUGGACCUGCGUUCGAUACGGGCAGACUAGAGUUCGGUAGGGGAGACUGGAAUUCCUGGUGUAGCGGUGAAAUGCGCAGAUAUCGGGAGGAACACCGAUAGCGAAGGCAGCUUGCUACACAAUAAU
rnacentral:rRNA from 1 species